AGGUCGCUGUUGCGUGAAUCCGGGCGGAUCCGGUCCCUAGGCGGCAUGAGGCUGCGGAUCCGACGAGGUCACGGCGGCGGCCGGCGGCUUUCUUGUUGUGCUCUCUGAGAGCCACGGGAGGAGAAGGAACAGAGGAGGGAGUGAUGCGGCAGGGCGGCGGUUGCUUCGCUGUUGUUUUUGGCCGUGGGGAGGCGUGCUGAACCUGCAGGCUCGACCCAGCAGGAGCGGCAGGUGCAGAGGCGCGUGCGAGGAGCGCCGUCGGCCCAUCGUUCUUUCUUCGUCAGGAAGGGCGCAGCCUGCUACUCAAGCCUCUCUCCUUCUCUCCUUCCAGAGCAGGAGAGGCACGGGCGCCCCCACACUGGAGAGAUGGACGAAGACAUGAAGCUUUCGCGGAGACGACGAGGUGGCCGAUGCUGCACCCCCAUGCCGUGCACACGAAGAUUCCCGUCCUCUCUGCCAUCGAUAACGACACUUCUCAUCGAUAACGGCACUUCUCGGCAGGCGCAGACCGCAUGGUCGUCUUCCUCUCUGGCCCAUCAGAUUCAGACCCUAUCCCUCUUCCUCUGCAUCUCUGUUAAAAUAUGCUCAGGUCAACUAGGAGAUGAUGCAAGCCAAGGCGCUCACAGUGAUUUAAGAUGUUUGCUCUAUGUUUGGUCAUAUUGUUCCUAGCGGUCUUGGAAGUAUCUUCAAGUCUUAAUAGAUGCAAUCCACGGUCCUGAGAUCGGCAAAGUUUGUGGCAUCAUUCUUCCUUAUGUAUUGCGUCUAAUUGCCUUUGGUCAUAAAUAGCAAGACACUGAUGGAGGAGCCGCCCAGCUCAUGCUGUGACUGUUCCAGCUUUCUGUGCUAAGAAAUCACUGACUGCCAGGAAAGGGAAGUGGACUGUGUGCCAGAGGUAUGAUCUAGCAAUUUUUCAUGUCAUUUCCUCUUUGCAGUGUGCUACUUGUUUUCUGAUGUUGUGCAUGUUCCAGUUUAGAGCUCAUGCAUCCACUCUUUAUUUCUGAAUUAAGUUAGUGAUGCACACUCUACAAAUGAGAUCCUCUUCUGUUAUGAAGAAUUGUUAUGGA